UACGUAGGGAGCAAGCGUUAAUCGGAAUUACUGGGCGUAAAGCGUGCGCAGGCGGUUUUGUAAGUCUGUCGUGAAAUCCCCGGGCUCAACCUGGGAAUUGCGAUGGAGACUGCAAGGCUAGAAUCUGGCAGAGGGGGGUAGAAUUCCACGUGUGAGCAGUGAAAUGCGUAGAGAUGUGGAGGAACACCGAUGGCGAAGGCAGCCCCCUGGGUCAAGAUUGACGCUCAUGCACGAAAGCGUGGGGAGCAAACAGG
rnacentral:rRNA from 1 species